UAUAGUUGAAGGCAAACAUGUAGAAGCAGAAGGGUCUAGGGCUGAGGUGGAAGAUAAAAAAUGUGAGGUGUUACUGGACAGCUGUGGGUCCUGUGGGUCAAAGGAAGAUGGAAUGUCUGCAAGGAUGGUGGGAGCAACAUGUUGUGGGGAUACAUUUCUGUAAGAAGAACUGGUGAUCUGUUAGCCAAAUGUAGAAGGAUUCUUCAUCAAAACCUGGCCCAGAGCCUGGACUUAAAUCUGAUUGAAAAUACCUAAAAUGGCUGUCCAGUAAUGCGCCCAUCCAACCUGACUGAGUUUGAGAGGGUCUGCUGAGAACCUAUACCUAUACCCCAAAACAGAUCUGCCAAGCUUCCAGAGAAACAUCCAAGAAGAUCUCAAGUCCUAAUUGUUGUCAAAACUUCUACAACAUACAGAAAAAUAGGAAUACUUACGUACAUGUUUAAUUUGCAAAAAUUAACAAAAAAUAUCAACAGUAAAAUGAUGAAGACAUAGAAACAUAAGAAACCGAAACACCAAAGGAUCAUAACAGUCAAGUGCUGGACUAAAAAGGAAUGAAAUUUCUUUUUUAAAUUACUUAUUAUGAAAUAAUUAGUAUUAUGACAUUUCUACCAGUUUCACCAGUUUUUAUACAGAUAUAGACAAACAAUUGUUCAAAUAUGAUCCUGACCAUCUCAGAUAUUUAAAAUGAUAUGACUAAUCCUGACAUGCCUGGAUAUCCCUGCUGUUGAGACACGAUACAGACUCAGAGGACAGCUCAGGAAUUUUCUCUCAUCUCCUGUCUGACACACCCCACAGAAGUAACAUCCUAUCUCUAUAAAUAAUCCCCUGACCCAUUCAUGACCCAUGCUUUCUCAGGCCUACAGGUACAUACUGCUAAAUCCUCAAAAUUCUGCACUCUUUGUCCGGGGAGUAGCACAUUCUGACUUGCAAUCUGAAUGUCAAUGAAAAUAAUGCCUAUUAAUGUGUAACAUAAAUUGUACUCUGGUAAUGGCAUCUGUGUUAUCCCUGCCAUCUGCAAACCCAACACCCAGCAAUUCACAGACUUUGCCAAGGCUGCCAAUAAUAAACAUGACCUGUCUGCACUCAUUCAGAAGCAGUGACAAAGCAAGAAGCUGCUGAUGGUAAAGCCUAUAUUAUUGUUUUUUUAUUUAUACCUAAAAAUUUUAAAAAGCAGGUGUCAUCUUAUCCAGAUUACCUUAGGUUUGAUCUACCACGUUUCAGAACACACCAGUUAUUAUUACACAUUGCGAACAAGAUCAGUGUGACUGAGUAAUGUAUUUACACUCCAAACAUGGCCCUAACAGGUCAAAUCUGACAAGUACUUUGGUUGUUCAAAUUAUCUCUGAACUUAAACUAGACAAAAUGUGAAAAUGCAGUGCCAGUGGACUGUUGGAAAGAUGAUCUGCUGAAGAAGCUGACUAAAGCAGAGACACUUCUUUAAAAAGUACAAGUAGCGGAAAAAUAUUUCAAUGGAAAACAUCUCAACAAUGUAUUUAAAGAAAUACAUUAAGACUAGAAAAUUACUGAAGAAACCUAUGUCAAACCAAAUAACCACAUGAAGCUAAACAAUUAAUAGUAAUUUAAGUGCUGAUGAAUCAGCAGAUUAGAAUGACAGAAAACACCAGUAAAAUUACCCUGGAGGGUUAAAUAAACUGACAGAGUUAAACAAUAGAGCAUUAAGACGUUAAGAGAUGAGGGUGAGCACAAAAGUGGAAAACCACCCACAUGUGUAAUAUAGAAAUCAGUUUAAACUGCUAACAUGCUAAUAGUACCAUGUUAGCAGCAUUAGCUUGUUAGUUUUUGAUGGUGAGUCUCAUCUACUAUGCUUAAUUUAGGUAGUGUGCUAGAGCUAUUAAAUAUGACACCAUACUACUAGCACGCUGGGAUACUAGUAGUAGGUAACAUGCUAUUAAUAACAUGUAAGCUAAUACUAUCUACCAUCCUAACAGGUUAUAUGUAUGCUAUGAACAGCAAUAGCAACAAUUUCUGUUAUACUAAAGUUAGUAUGCUAGCAUAAACUAAUAUCCCAGCAUUAGCUAAAAGGUUACUAUGAACGUGUUAGCAAACAGUAGCUAACACUUACAAAUGUGCUAAAAGUGCAAACUAGUGCGGUGAUAUAAGAACUGAUGUGAAAUGAUCCAUUUUCCCAGUGUUGGUCAGGACUCUGGCUGCCGCAUUUUGGAUGAUCUGCAGUUGCUUGAUAGAUUUUUAAAAGAGAUUAGUAAAGACACUGUUGCAGUAAUCUCACCUACUGAAAAUAAAGACAUGCCCCAGUUUUUCUGUGUCCGGAUGUAACAAGAAGCCCUUCAGCCUGACAAUGUUUUUUAAAAUGAUAGUAAGCUGAUUUACCAACGGACUUUAAAUGGUUGUUAAAACCAUUGCACCAAAAUACAAUAAUCUCAAGCCAGCCAUCUGGCAUCAACCAUCCCUGAACAUUUAAAAUUAGAUAUGGGCAAAUGGCUCACAGUCCAGGGCACCAUCCUUCUAGGGGCAGCAGAGCACUUGAAUAAGAAGAGAAAGUAUAAUGUGAAUUUUGCCUAAGAAAAUAUGGCUGUACACAAGUGAAGGCUAAAAUCACUGAAAUUGGCAUCUAAUUUGUAGAUUCCUUGUUGGCAUGGUUUGAAACUGGUCAGACUAAGAGUAGAUUGCUCUGCACUGAAGACAGAUUCUGAAACAAAGAAUUUGAGAUUUAUGGAACCUUUAUUCUUUUUGUCGAAACAGGCACAAUAUAACAAUAUUUAGUUGUUAGAAGCACUUGAAGUCUUGAUGCAACAACACUGUCUUUCGGUUUAUUUUAGACUGCCAUUUAAGAUUCUUUUACUGACUUUUAGAGGUCUUCAUGGACUGGCACCAGAUUUUAGCAGAGGGAUUCUGCACCUAUAUGUCCCUGGCAGGUCAUGAGGUCUUGUGACUAGGGCAUGCUGAUGGUUUCCCAUACUAAGAUGAAAACAAAAGGAGACAGAAUAUUCUGCUCAGUGGCCGCUAGACACUGGAACUCCCCUCCUUUCAUCUUGAGACCAGUGGACUCUGUGGUUUGUUUUAAGAGCCAGUUAAAAAGAUAUUUUUUUAUCUGCUUUUUCUUAGGUUCUCUUGUUUUGAUGCAUUGUUGGCUCUUGUGAGGCACAUUGUGAUUUUAUAUAUUGUAAGGUGCUAUAUAAAUAGAGUAUUACCCUAGAUUGAGACAAGCAUUAGCAGAUUAAUUUAUACAUAAAUGGCCCGGGGCGCCAUUUAUUCAUCCUGCUUAGUGUUAUAAAUUAAUGUCCUCUUUCUUCUCUGUUCCGUCCUUUUUUUGGUUCUGGUCAUUUGAGUUAAUUUUUGCAAUCUAGUGUUUGUUCAAUGUAUUGCUAUAUUAAAUCUGUCAAUGACAAUGAUUUCUUAGAAUGUUUAACAUUAUACAUACUGUAAAACUGUCCAGCAAUUCAUGCAGUGCAUCCAAUACCAGGUGGCUGCUUUGUGCAAAUCUGACUAAGACAGCAGAAGACAUCACUGUGUGAUUUGAAGAUUUGCUACUUUACUCAUUCUGCGUAUUUUUGUGAAUUACCGAGUGAAGAUGAGUGACUAAUGUGUACUUACAAGCAAUUAGAGUCUAAAAUGACGAAAGCUUCCACAGACAGUAUCACCACAGAGUCUGUCACUCUUGUUAUACUCCUUGAUCCUCAGCAGACCCCCCCGUCUACCAGCUGUUUCAUGUAUAGCACUCAUUUUCCUCCCUUCCCUGCUGGCCUCUAUGUUAAACAUAGCAACAGAGUGACUCGUUAGAUAGGGAUGAGCUGAGACAGGUGUCCAUCAUAACUGUCCCCUCUGGAUUUUCCCACUGAGGGCCAGCAGAGGGACCAGAGACGGCUGGUUUACGUCUAAUCUCUGAUGUCGCAUGUCACUGAUGCAGUUUCCUGCCUGAAGCUCUUGGCUUUUGUUUGACCAAAUGUUGUGUGGAUUGCUGCUGGCAUGUGAAUCUUUUCUCCCAGUGGAUGUAGGUUUAAAACAACACAGGCCUGGGUUUCUGUAGCAAGCAACUUUCAAAUCACAGUCAUAUAAAUUGUGACACUUGUAUGUGGGAUCUGUUUCAGGAAUGGGUUUAAUGAGAGAAUAAUACAUUUACCAAGGAUAGUUUUCAUGAGAAUAUACCUGUUAUAUUCAUUAAUAAAGACUUUCAUGAGUUUGAACUUUUCAGUUGUGCAUUUAGAUUAUUUUCUUCAUGUAUUUAGUUUUCAAAAGAGUCAAAAUGUUUUAAAACUGUACCUUACUAAUUGUGAGUGUUGUUUAUCUUAAGAGGGUAAAUUCUUUAACACAUAAGGAAUAUUUUUAUGGGGUUGUAUUAAGUAAUUGUCUUUUAGACUGUUUGACUUAGAUAAAAUGUUUUUGCUAUUCUUCCCUAAGGUAUAAGCACCAUAGUUUGCUGGAAUUUUGGCACAUUCCUCCUAACAGAACUGCUGUAACUGAGUCAGAUUUGUCGGCUGCCUUGCUUGCACACACAUUUUUAGCUCGACUCAUACAUUUCUGCAUUAGAUUGAGAUCAGAGCUUAAAAAUGGCCAUUCCAAAACAUUCACUCUGUUGUCCUUGAGCCUGAAGGUCAUUGUUCCUUUAGAAGACCCAUUUGUGCUCAAGCUUAAACUUCCUAUCUGAUGUCUUGAGAUGUUGCUUCAGUAUUUUCACCUAAUGUUCUUUCCUGAAGUGCACCAGUCCCCCCUCUGCAGUAAAAUACCCACACAACAUGAUGCUGUCACCUUCGAAUGCCACGGUUGGGAUUGUGUUCUCAGGCCUCCCCCUCAUUAUGUCAAAGCACAUCGAAUUUAGAUUCAUACGACCACAACCCAUGGACUCGCUUCACUGUGGAUAAUGACACUCUGCUCACCCUCCCACACACAUACAAAUCCACACACACACAAUUUCUAUAAGUGGUUGAAGGUCAUACAAAUACAGGUUACAAUAACAUUAAAGUGGCCUGUCUACUUGGAUGCUGGAUAGAAUCUGGAAUUAAUAAAAGUGAUAAUGCAGUUAGGAUACUGUGUUGAGAUAACCUUUUUGUAGAGCAAAGCUGUCCUGGCACAUGUAGGCAAUCAUCUGCUCUAUAUGGUAUGCCUGAAACGCCUCGACAGGACACGUAAAAAAACAAAAACAUAUGUCCCCCUAGUCCAACCCCUCUAAAUUAGUCUGGCUAUUUAUCCAAGGUCAGCAUAUCUUUCUUAAGGAAAUUUGUAUUAGAUAUUUACGUUAGAUGUUACAAAGUAAGAAGAGCUGGUUAGAGGAAAAGAACAGCUCCAUGAACAACAAUUUAUAAGUGGCAGGAUAUUUUAUACUACAGUCCACAUAGUAAGCAUUGUUCCAUGGACAUUGCUCAAGUAGGAAAAAUCCAUAAAUUUCACCGAACAUUUUAUCCAAAGGUUUAUGCAAAUUCAAUGUUGUCCCUUGAAUUUUCUAAAGUAAGAUUAGUCUGAAUCUAUCUGCUACAGGUAAGAUACAGGCAACUGGAAAAAACAAUCCAUUAAGAAGUUUUAAGUCACGUUUAUGUGUUAACAACCAUGUAUACAACUGAAAGCAAUUAGACACAAAGUAAGGAGAUUGUCAUUUUAUUUUUUUAAUAAAUCCAAACUUACUGAACCAUGGACAGAAACCCAGAGGUUGUCUUGUGCAGAUUUUUCUCUGAAUUUGUUUCGAGUAUGUUCAGACUAAUUUGUUCUUGAUACUAACAUCCAGUAAGAAACGAUAUAGUUUUGAUCAGAGGAAAGUUAAGGUUUAUUUGUAUAGCAAAUUUCCACAACAAGACAGUUUAAACCAGUUUACAUGAUGAAAACACAUAAAGUACUUUACUGUGGCAUAAUAAAGGAAAAUAAAGAAAGGCUUGACUACAAAUUGAAAUUAAUUUUGUUUCAGUUUAUAGUUUAAAAGGAACAGUCAAUGGCAACUCUUGACAAAUGGGGUUUUAACUCUGAUUAGAAAUAACUCAGGCUUUCAGCCUUUUUGCAGAACUGAAUGCUGCUUCUUCAUGUUUGGUUCUAAUUCUGGAGAUGCAGCAUAGACUUGAACCAGAAGAUCUAAGUAGUCUAGAAGAUUGAUGGAACGACAACAAAUCUUUAAUAUAUUUGGUGCUAAGCCAUUCAGUGAUUUAUAAACUAACAAACAUAUUUUAAAGUAUGUUCUCUGAGAUACAGGGAGCCAGUGUAAGGACUUUAAAACUGGGGUGAUGUGCUCCACUGUCUGGGCGUUCAGGUCUGACUCCAUCACUACACCCAGAUUUCAGGCCUGAUCUAUGGUUUCUAGUUGUAGUAACUGAAGCUGUGUGCUGACUUUUGAUCACUUCUCCUUUGCUUCUCCUUUGAUCGUAAAACAAUUACAUCAGUUUGUUUUCAUUCAACUGAAGUAAAUUAUGACACAUCCACGAAUUGGUUUGUUCUAUGCAUCUACCUAGCGCUUUAAUAAGUUCAUAGUCACCUGGUGACAUUGUAAUGUAGAGCUGUGUGUCUUCUGCAUAGUUAUGGUAACUUGUCUUAUUGUUUGUUAUGAUCUGAGCUACGGAGAGCAUGUAAAUAUUGAAUAGGAGGGGACCCAGGAUGGAACCUUUGGGGACCCUGCAUGUGAUUUUUGUCAACUCUGAUUAAAAGUUACCUAUUGACACAAA